GUAAGGAAUAUUGGUCAAUGGACGAAAGUCUGAACCAGCCAUGCCGCGUGGAGGAUGAAGGUCCUCUGGAUUGUAAACUUCUUUUAUCUGGGACGAAAAAAGGUCUUUCUAGAUCGUCUGACGGUACCAGAUGAAUAAGCACCGGCUAACUCCGUGCCAGCAGCCGCGGUAAUACGGAGGGUGCAAGCGUUAUCCGGAUUCACUGGGUUUAAAGGGUGCGUAGGUGGGUUGGUAAGUCAGUGGUGAAAUCUUCGAGCUUAACUCGGAAACUGCCAUUGAUACUAUCAGUCUUGAAUAUUGUGGAGGUUAGCGGAAUAUGUCAUGUAGCGGUGAAAUGCUUAGAUAUGACAUAGAACACCAAUUGCGAAGGCAGCUGGCUACACAUAUAUUGACACUGAGGCACGAAAGCGUGGGGAUCAAACAGGAUUAGAUACCCCGGUAGUCC
rnacentral:rRNA from 1 species